rnacentral:rRNA from 1 species
UAGAUACCCUGGUAGUCCUAGCAGUAAACGGUGCACGUUUGGUGUGGGGGGAUUCGACCCCUUCCGCGCCGGAGCUAACGCGUUAAGCGUGCCGCCUGGGAAGUACGAUCGCAAGAUUAAAACUCAAAGAAAUUGACGGGGACCCGCACAAGCGGUGGAGUAUGUGGCUUAAUUCGAUGCAACGCGAAGAACCUUACCUGGUCUUGACAUGCACUGUGUCUCCGGUGAAAGCCGGAUAGUGUAGCAAUAC